ACGAAAGCAAUUAAGGGUAUACGGGGGAUGCCUUGGCUCUCAGAGGCGAUGAAGGACGUGACUACCUGCGAAAAGCUGUGGGGAGGUGGUAUUAACCUGUGAUCCGCAGAUGUCCGAAUGGGGCAACCCAGUCACUUGAAGAGUGACUACCGAGAGGAGCAAACCCGGAGAACUGAAACAUCUAAGUACCCGGAGGAGGAGAAAACAAGUCAGUGAUUCCGUAAGUAGUGGCGAGCGAAAGCGGAACAGCCUAAACUCCGAAAACCACGGUUUUCGGAGGGUUGUAGGACUGCAUUUAGAAACCAUCAUCAAGCAAAACCAUCUGGAAAGUUGGACCAAAGAGGGUGACAGUCCCGUAAGCGGAAAUUGAUGGGGACGAGCAGUAUCCUGAGUACCGCGGGGUCGGAGACGCCCUGUGGGAAUCCGGCGGCACCAUCCGCCAAGGCUAAAUACUCCUGAGAGACCGAUAGUGAACUAGUACCGUAAGGGAAAGGUGAAAAGCACCGCGAACAGCGGAGUGAAAUAGACCUGAAACCGUAUACUUACAAGCUGUGGGAGUCCCGACACUUGUGUCGGGAUGACCUCGUGCCUUUUGCAUAAUGAGCCUACGAGUUACUCCUCACUGGCAAGGUUAAAUGCUGCAAGCAGAUAGCCGUAGCGAAAGCAAGUCCGAACAGGGCGAAUAGUCAGUGGGGGUAGACGCGAAACCUUAGUGAUCUACCCAUGGUCAGGAUGAAGUCCCGGUAACACGGGAUGGAGGUCCGAACUGUUUGGCGUUGAAAAGCCAUCGGAUGAACUGUGGGUAGGGGUGAAAGGCUAAUCAAACUGGGAGAUAGCUCGUACUCCCCGAAAUGUCUUUAGGGACAGCCUCGGGUACAACGUGUCAUAGAGGUAGAGCUACCGAUUGGGCUAGGGGGUCUCAAAACCUACCAAACCCUGACGAACUCCGAAUGCUAUGACAUAAACCCGGGAGUGAGGCUUUGGGCGCUAAGGUCCAGGGCCAAAAGGGAAACAACCCAGACCAUCAGUUAAGGUCCCUAAAUCCAUGCUAAGUUGAUCAAACGAUGUUUCACUGCUAUGACAGCUAGGAUGUUGGCUUGGAAGCAGCCAUCCAUUUAAAGAGUGCGUAACAGCUCACUAGUCGAGUGGUGGGGCGCGGAAAAUAAUCGGGCAUCAAGCAUGGUACCGAAGCUAUGGGCCCGCAAGGGCGGUAGGGGAGCAUUCUUGUCUGCAUUGAAGGUGUGAUAUGAGUCAUGCUGGAGCGGCAAGAAAAGCAGAUGUAGGCAUAAGUAACGAUAAACACUGUGAAAAACAGUGUCGCCGUAAGUCUAAGGGUUCCUGAUCCACGUUAAUCGAAUCAGGGUUAGUCGGGUCCUAAGGUGUAGCCGAACGGCGAAGCCGAUGGAAAACUGGUUAAUAUUCCAGUACCGGCAUUGAUUGUGAUGGGGCGACGGAGAAGUGAAAGGUCUGCGUGCUGACGGAAUAGCACGUUGAAGCCCGUAGGUAUAGGCUGAACAGGUAAACCCGUUCGGCUUGCUGAAAGGUGACAGUACGGUGAGUCUUCGGACAAGCCGAUAAUGACCCUAAUCAUGCUCCCGAGAAAAACCUCUAAACUAUAGAUCAAUGCUGCCCGUACCGCAAACCGACACAGGUAGACGAGGAGAGUAUCCUAAGGCGCUCGAGUGAGCCGUGGUUAAGGAACUCGGCAAAUUAACCCUGUAACUUCGGGAUAAAGGGUGUCCCGCCUUUUGGCGGGAUCGCAGUGAAACGGGACAAGCGACUGUUUAACAAAAACUCAGGGCCCUGCUAAUUCGAAAGAAGAAGUAUAGAGCCUGAUACCUGCCCGGUGCCGGAAGGUUAAAGAAGGGGGUCAGCAGCAAUGCAAAGCUCUCGACUGAAGCCCCGGUAAACGGCGGCCGUAACUAUAACGGUCCUAAGGUAGCGAAAUUCCUUGUCGGGUAAGUUCCGACCUGCACGAAUGGUUUAACGACUUGUCCACUGUCUCGACCACGAGCUCGGUGAAAUUGUAAAUACCGGUGAAGAUGCCGGUUUCCCGUCACGGGACGGAAAGACCCCAUGAACCUUCACUAUACCUUAGUAUUGGGUCUGGUUAAACGAUGUGUAGCAUAGGUGGGAGACUUUGAAGCUGCGGCGCUAGCCGUGGUGGAGUCGCAAUGUGAAAUACCACCCUUUGCUUAAUUAGAUUCUAACCCCCUACCAAGGGGGAACAGUGCUAGGCGGGUAGUUUGACUGGGGUGGUCGCCUCCAAAAGAGUAACGGAGGCUUUCAAAGGUACCCUCAGCAUGCUUGGUAACCAUGCUUCGAGUGCAAUAGCAAAAGGGUGCUUGACUGCAACACUCACAAGUGGAGCAGGGCCGAAAGGCGGAUAUAGUGAUCCGGUGGUUCCGCAUGGAAGGGCCAUCGCUCAAAGGAUAAAAGGUACUCUGGGGAUAACAGGCUGAUCUCCCCCAAGAGCUCAUAUCGACGGGGAGGUUUGGCACCUCGAUGUCGGUUCGUCACAUCCUGGGGCUGGAGAAGGUCCCAAGGGUUCGGCUGUUCGCCGAUUAAAGUGGCACGUGAACUGGGUUCAGAACGUCGCAAGACAGUUCGGUCCCUAUCUGUGAUGGGCGCUGGAAAUUUGAGGGAAGAUGACCCUAGUACGAGAGGACCGGGUUGUACGAACCUCUGGUGUACCUGUUGUGUUGCCAAAUGCAGCGCAGGGUAGCUAUGUUCGGCCGUGAUAAGCGCUGAAAGCAUCUAAGCGCGAAACACUUCCCAAGAUGAGAUUUCCCAGGGCCGUAGAAGACGACUACGUUGAUAGGUGGCAGGUCUAAAGGUGGUAACAUCAAAGCCGAGCCAUACUAAUUGCCCGUUUGCUUUCUACU
rnacentral:rRNA from 1 species